GAGUUUGAUCAUGGCUCAGAUUGAACGCUGGCGGCAGGCCUAACACAUGCAAGUCGAGCGGUAGAGAGAAGCUUGCUUCUCUUGAGAGCGGCGGACGGGUGAGUAAUGCCUAGGAAUCUGCCUGGUAGUGGGGGAUAACGCUCGGAAACGGACGCUAAUACCGCAUACGUCCUACGGGAGAAAGCAGGGGACCUUCGGGCCUUGCGCUAUCAGAUGAGCCUAGGUCGGAUUAGCUAGUUGGUGAGGUAAUGGCUCACCAAGGCGACGAUCCGUAACUGGUCUGAGAGGAUGAUCAGUCACACUGGAACUGAGACACGGUCCAGACUCCUACGGGAGGCAGCAGUGGGGAAUAUUGGACAAUGGGCGAAAGCCUGAUCCAGCCAUGCCGCGUGUGUGAAGAAGGUCUUCGGAUUGUAAAGCACUUUAAGUUGGGAGGAAGGGCAGUAAAUUAAUACUUUGCUGUUUUGACGUUACCGACAGAAUAAGCACCGGCUAACUCUGUG
rnacentral:rRNA from 1 species